AGUCGAGCGGACAGAUGGGAGCUUGCUCCCUGAUGUUAGCGGCGGACGGGUGAGUAACACGUGGGUAACCUGCCUGUAAGACUGGGAUAACUCCGGGAAACCGGGGCUAAUACCGGAUGGUUGUUUGAACCGCAUGGUUCAGACAUAAAAGGUGGCUUCGGCUACCACUUACAGAUGGACCCGCGGCGCAUUAGCUAGUUGGUGAGGUAACGGCUCACCAAGGCAACGAUGCGUAGCCGACCUGAGAGGGUGAUCGGCCACACUGGGACUGAGACACGGCCCAGACUCCUACGGGAGGCAGCAGUAGGGAAUCUUCCGCAAUGGACGAAAGUCUGACGGAGCAACGCCGCGUGAGUGAUGAAGGUUUUCGGAUCGUAAAGCUCUGUUGUUAGGGAAGAACAAGUGCCGUUCAAAUAGGGCGGCACCUUGACGGUACCUAACCAGAAAGCCACGGCUAACUACGUGCCAGCAGCCGCGGUAAUACGUAGGUGGCAAGCGUUGUCCGGAAUUAUUGGGCGUAAAGGGCUCGCAGGCGGUUUCUUAAGUCUGAUGUGAAAGCCCCCGGCUCAACCGGGGAGGGUCAUUGGAAACUGGGGAACUUGAGUGCAGAAGAGGAGAGUGGAAUUCCACGUGUAGCGGUGAAAUGCGUAGAGAUGUGGAGGAACACCAGUGGCGAAGGCGACUCUCUGGUCUGUAACUGACGCUGAGGAGCGAAAGCGUGGGGAGCGAACAGGAUUAGAUACCCUGGUAGUCCACGCCGUAAACGAUGAGUGCUAAGUGUUAGGGGGUUUCCGCCCCUUAGUGCUGCAGCUAACGCAUUAAGCACUCCGCCUGGGGAGUACGGUCGCAAGACUGAAACUCAAAGGAAUUGACGGGGGCCCGCACAAGCGGUGGAGCAUGUGGUUUAAUUUGAAGCAACGCGAAGAACCUUACCAGGUCUUGACAUCCUUUGACAAUCCUAGAGAUAGGACGUCCCCUUCGGGGGCAGAGUGACAGGUGGUGCAUGGUUGUYGUCAGCUCGUGUYGUGAGAUGUUGGGUUAAGUCCCGCAACGAGCGCAACCCUUGAUUUUAGUUGCCAGCAUUCAGUUGGGCACUUUAAGGUGACUGCCGGUGACAAACCGGAGGAAGGUGGGGAUGACGUCAAAUCAUCAUGCCCCUUAUGACCUGGGCUACACACGUGCUACAAUGGGCAGAACAAAGGGCAGCGAAACCGCGAGGUUAAGCCAAUCCCACAAAUYUGUUYUCAGUUCGGAUCGCAGUUUGCAACUUGAMUGCGUGAAGCYGGAAUCGCUUGUAAUCGCGGAUCAGCAUGCCGCGGUGAAUACGUUCCCGGGCCUUGUACACACCGCCCGUCACACCACGAGAGUUUGUAACACCCGAAGUCGGUGAGGUAACCUUUUUGGAGCCAGCCGCCGAAGGUGGGACAGAUGAUUGGGGUGAAGUCGUA
rnacentral:rRNA from 1 species